rnacentral:rRNA from 1 species
UACAGAGGUGGCAAGCGUUGUUCGGAAUUACUGGGCGUAAAGGGCGCGUAGGCGGCCUACUAAGUCAGACGUGAAAUCCCCCGGCUUAACCUGGGAACUGCGUCUGAUACUGGAAGGCUUGAGGAUGGGAGAGGGAUGUAGAAUUCCAGGUGUAGCGGUGAAAUGCGUAGAUAUCUGGAGGAAUACCGGUGGCGAAGGCGGCAUCCUGGACCAUUACUGACGCUGAGGCGCGAAAGCGUGGGUAGCGAACAGG